rnacentral:rRNA from 1 species
GAUGAACGCUGGCGGCGUGCCUAAUACAUGCAAGUCGAGCGAACAGACGAGGAGCUUGCUCCUCUGACGUUAGCGGCGGACGGGUGAGUAACACGUGGAUAACCUACCUAUAAGACUGGGAUAACUUCGGGAAACCGGAGCUAAUACCGGAUAAUAUUUUGAACCGCAUGGUUCAAUAGUGAAAGACGGUUUUGCUGUCACUUAUAGAUGGAUCCGCGCCGCAUUAGCUAGUUGGUAAGGUAACGGCUUACCAAGGCAACGAUGCAUAGCCGACCUGAGAGGGUGAUCGGCCACACUGGAACUGAGACAAGGUCCAGACUCCUACGGGAGGGAGCAGUAGGGAAUCUUCAGCAAUGGGCGAAAGCUUGACGGAGCAACGCCGCGUGAGUGAGGAAGGUCUUCGGAUCGUAAAACUCUGUUAUUAGGGAAGAACAAAUGUGUAAGUAACUAUGCACAUCUUGACGGUACCUAAUCAGAAAGCCACGGCUAACUACGUG